rnacentral:misc_RNA from 1 species
UUAAUUCUUUAUAUUUUCAUUCAGACACAAAACUCAUUACAGCAUAAAAGCGGCGCCGGGGCGCCGAAGCACGUCUUUGCUUCCACAGAUUUGAAGGGUUUGAAGGUCAAAUGACCAUUCAGUAAUGAUCCCUCCGCAGGUUCACCUACGGAGA